CACGUAGGGUGCGAGCGUUGUCCGGAAUUAUUGGGCGUAAAGAGCUCGUAGGCGGCUUGUCGCGUCUGCUGUGAAAUCCCGAGGCUCAACCUCGGGCCUGCAGUGGGUACGGGCAAGCUAGAGUGCGGUAGGGGAGAUUGGAAUUCCUGGUGUAGCGGUGGAAUGCGCAGAUAUCAGGAGGAACACCGAUGGCGAAGGCAGAUCUCUGGGCCGUAACUGACGCUGAGGAGCGAAAGCAUGGGGAGCGAACAGG
rnacentral:rRNA from 1 species